rnacentral:rRNA from 1 species
AUUGAACGCUAGCGGCAUGCCUUACACAUGCAAGUCGAACGGCAGCACGGGGCAACCUGGUGGCGAGUGGCGAACGGGUGAGUAAUGCAUCGGAACGUACCUUUCAGUGGGGGAUAACGUAGCGAAAGUUACGCUAAUACCGCAUAUUCUGUGAGCAGGAAAGCAGGGGAUCGCAAGACCUUGCGCUGAUUGAGCGGCCGAUGUCAGAUUAGCUAGUUGGUGAGGUAAAGGCUCACCAAGGCGACGAUCUGUAGCGGGUCUGAGAGGAUGAGCCGCCACACUGGAACUGAGACACGGUCCAGACUCCUACGGGAGGCAGCAGUGGGGAAUUUUGGACAAUGGGGGCAACCCUGAUCCAGCCAUGCCGCGUGAGUGAAGAAGGCCUUCGGGUUGUAAAGCUCUUUCGGCCGGGAAGAAAUCGCACGGGCUAAUACCCUGUGUGGAUGACGGUACCGGAAUAAGAAGCACCGGCUAACUACGUGCCAGCCGCCGCCGUAAAAC